rnacentral:rRNA from 1 species
AUUGAACGCUGGCGGCAGGCCUAACACAUGCAAGUCGAACGGUAACAGGAAGAAGCUUGCUUCUUUGCUGUCGAGUGGCGGACGGGUGAGUCAUGUCUGGGAAACUGCUUGAUGGAGGGGGAUAACUACUGGAAACGGUAGCUAAUACCGCAUAACGUCGCAAGCGCAAAGAGGGGGACCUUCGGGCCUCUUGCCAUCGGCUGUGCCCAGAUUGGAUUAGCUAGUAGGUGGGGUAACGGCUCACCUAGGCGACGAUCCCUAGCUGAUCUGAGAGGAUGACCAGCCACACUGGAACUGAGACACGGUCCAGACUCCUACGGGAGGCAGCAGUGGGGAAUAUUGCACAAUGGGCGCAAGCCUGAUGGAGCAAUGCCGCGUGUAUGAUGAAGGCCUUCGGGUUGUAAAGUACUGUCAGCGGGGAGGAAGAGAGGUAUGUUAAUAUCUUUACACAUUGACGUUACCCGAAGAAGAAGCAACGGCUAACUCCGUG